rnacentral:rRNA from 1 species
UACAGAGGUCUCAAGCGUUGUUCGGAUUCAUUGGGCGUAAAGGGCGCGUAGGCGGCCUUUCAAGUGACGGGUGAAAUCCCUCGGCUUAACCGAGGAACUGCCUGUCAGACUGGAAGGCUUGAGACCGGGAGAGGUGAGUGGAAUUCCCAGUGUAGCGGUGAAAUGCGUAGAUAUUGGGAGGAACACCAGUGGCGAAGGCGGCUCACUGGACCGGUACUGACGCUGAGGCGCGAAAGCGUGGGGAGCAAACAGG